UGCGCAGGCGGUUAUAUUAAGACAGAUAGUGAAAUCCCCGGGCUCAACCUGGGACCUGCAUUUGUGACUGUAUAGCUAGAGUACGGUAGAGGGGGAUGGAAUUCCGCGUGUAGCAGUGAAAUGCGUAGAUAUGCGGAGGAACACCGAUGGCGAAGGCGAUCCCCUGGACCUGUACUGACGCUCAUGGCACGAAAGCGUGGGGAGCAAACAGGAUUAGAUACCCUGGUAGUCCACGCCCUAAACGAUGUCAACUGGUUGUUGGGUCUUCACUGACUCAGUAACGAAGCUAACGCGUGAAGUUGACCGGCCUGGGGAGUACGGCCGCAAGGUUGAA
rnacentral:rRNA from 1 species